AAAGGGCAGCUCAGAGGCUACUCACUCAGAUGCAGCCACAGAGAGGAGGGGAGAGUUGCUCCAGAGAAAAGGGCAGCCCCAGAUGCUUGUUUGGAGAGAAAGGACCACUGAAAGGUUCUACUUACGGAGGAGUACUUUACAUUCAUCUCAGAUGACUGGAGCACAUAUCAGGAAGACCCAGGAAAGUGCUGACCUUCCCGUUCUUGUGGCUCUUAUCAGACUAGAUGCUCACCCUCUCCGCACACAGGACCAUCUUGAGGGGGGCAUCCCAUGUAAGCAAAAUGUGGAAAAGCCAGUGACCAUCAACAAAACAAAACAUCAAAGCCAACUAAUAAAGGGAGAAAGACAAUAUUUGGGAGAACGAGGAGCACAUAUGUGAUCCUGCUGAAGAAACAAGACACACAUACACAGACGAAGGAGAGAAGCCACCAUCAGGCCCAAUGUCACGUCUCUUUAGAUUUCCUCAAUUAGUGAUGAUGAAAGCUAAUUCCUGGGGGUUUGACAACAUACCUCAAAGCUGCAGAAUUUUCUUCAAA
rnacentral:lncRNA from 1 species